rnacentral:rRNA from 1 species
AUUGAACGCUGGCGGCAUGCCUUACACAUGCAAGUCGAACGGCAGCACGGGAGCAAUCCUGGUGGCGAGUGGCGAACGGGUGAGUAAAGUAUCGGAACGUGCCCAGUCGUGGGGGAUAACGUAGCGAAAGCUACGCUAAUACCGCAUACGAUCUAUGGAUGAAAGCGGGGGAUCGCAAGACCUCGCGCGAUUGGGGCGGCCGAUAUCAGAUUAGGUAGUUGGUGAGGUAAAGGCUCACCAAGCCGACGAUCUGUAGCUGGUCUGAGAGGACGACCAGCCACACUGGGACGGAGGCACGGCCGAGACUCCUGCGGGAGGCAGCAGUGGGGAAUUUGGGACAAUGGGCGCAAGCCUGAUCCAGCAAUGCCGCGUGCAGGAUGAAGGCCUUCGGGUUGUAAACUGCUUUUGUACGGAACGAAACGGUGAGCUCUAAUACAGUUUGCUAAUGACGGUACCGUAAGAAUAAGCACCGGCUAACUACGUGCCAGCCGCCGCAGUAACAC